rnacentral:lncRNA from 10 species
CAAACCUUCUGGAGUCUGAACCAGCAACGUAGCACACAAUAUACUACAAAACUCCUUCUCAUGUCCUCUCACUCCAGCACUUCCAUUCUCCCCACCAAUGGCCCUAUUUGUUUACUGCCAUGUUGCUGUUGCGUUUCACAAGGUUGCUGAUUUCUUCUCCAAAGAUUUGUUUCCCGGGGGCCUCCCAGUGUUGUAGAACCUACAGUGUAUGACUUGGAGGAGUCAAUGAGAUUUCCUCUCCAUUCUAAUCACAUAUAAGUCUCGCUUGUUGCCCAGGCUGGAAUGCAGUGCAGUGGUGUGAUCUCGGCUCACUGAAACCUCCGGCAACCUCCACCUCCCGAGUUCA